UACGUAGGUCCCGAGCGUUGUCCGGAUUUAUUGGGCGUAAAGCGAGCGCAGGCGGUCUUUUAAGUCUGAUGUGAAAGCCUUCGGCUUAACCGGAGUAGUGCAUUGGAAACUGGGAGACUUGAGUGCAGAAGAGGAGAGUGGAACUCCAUGUGUAGCGGUGAAAUGCGUAGAUAUAUGGAGGAACACCAGUGGCGAAAGCGGCUCUCUGGUCUGUAACUGACGCUGAGGUUCGAAAGCGUGGGUAGCAAACAGG
rnacentral:rRNA from 1 species